rnacentral:ncRNA from 1 species
UUAAAUGCGAUGAAAAGAAGAGUACAUCCAAGAAACAUUCAAAGAGAGCUGUGAUUUGGUGAAAAGCGGCAAUGCAGGCGGGAUGGAAAAUGAUCUUUGAGCAGAUCAGGUGAAUGAUAACUCACAAGCUUGGUCCGGAUGCAUCCGAUAUCGUGCCGCAGUAUACAGAUUAAGGAAUUGUCUAAGUACUGGAUGAGGUGAUAUACGCGAGUAUAUGACGAAUAAAGGUGGUAACACGAGAGCUGAAGCUUUUGUCCUUUGG